rnacentral:lncRNA from 1 species
CUACAAUGUAACUCUUAAACUUACUGCUAUGAGAGAAUUGCUUGGACUCAUGAAACACGCUUUUUGGAGGAAAUUAGGUGAUAUGAGACAUAUAACUAUGCCCUGUAGUUGCAAAUGACAUCAUUAGUGAAUUAGUUUUCUUUUUGCUUCUUUUCUUUGUUCUUCUAACCAUAUGUGUGUGUAAAUGUGUGCGUGUGUAUACCCUGAGAAUUUCUGUGCAGGGAGGAAGUGGUUCAAUCUGCUUGUCUCUGAGCAGCCGUUGGCUUUUAGAAUAAAGAAAUGACUCUGCCUUGUUUCUGAUUCAGAUGCAACAUGAGGCUUGUUUUCAUCCAUGAGGUCUAAAUUCAAACACCUGUCUUCUCCCCCUAUAAAACAUAAUCCUCUUUCCCCAUAACAUUGAAGGAGAAAAAAAAACUUGGCUUUACAUGCUGUUUAGGUUAGAUCUGUAAGAGGAGCUUAAGUGCUGAUUACAAGAAACACUGAGAGAAUGAAAACUAGUUUGGAAACCUCAUGUGGCUCAGAAAACUCCAUAUGACAAAGAUACCACACAGCUUAUGUAGGCAUCCAGGUCAGAAGGGCAGGUGCACAGGAGCCUAAUUUGUAAAGGCCAUUGUCAUAUUCCAUCUAAGGACUGACUCAGCCCUCCCAUUCCUUCAACCAUAACUUUUAUUCCUUUCCACACCUCUCCCACUACUGUCUUCAUUUCAGCAGAAAAAGACAAUCUCUCUUGACCAAAAUAUGAGGCCUACAAUAGUAGCAUUUGGC